rnacentral:rRNA from 1 species
CCUACGGGUGGCAGCAGUGAGGAAUAUUGGUCAAUGGCCGAGAGGCUGAACCAGCCAAGUCGCGUGAGGGAAGACGGCCCUACGGGUUGUAAACCUCUUUUGUCGGGGAGCAAAGCGAACCACGUGGGGGUCAUUGAGAGUACCCGAAGAAAAAGCAUCGACUAACUCCGUGCCAGCAGCCGCGGUAAGACGGAGGAUGCGAGCGUUAUCCGGAUUUAUUGGGUUUAACGGGAGCGCAGGCGGAGGUGCAAGUCAGCGGUCAAAUUGCGGGGCUCAACCCCUUACUGCCGUUGAAACUGCCUCCCUUGAGUGCGCGCGAAGUCUGCGGACUGCGUGGUGUAGCGGUGA